rnacentral:rRNA from 1 species
CACGUAGGGCGCAAGCGUUGCCCGGAAUUAUUGGGCGUAAAGAGCUCGUAGGCGGUGUGUCGCGUCGGCCGUGAAAACCUGCAGCUUAACUGUGGGCGUGCGGUCGAUACGGGCAUCACUGGAGUUCGGCAGGGGAGACUGGAAUUCCUGGUGUAGCGGUGAAAUGCGCAGAUAUCAGGAGGAACACCGGUGGCGAAGGCGGGUCUCUGGGCCGAUACUGACGCUGAGGAGCGAAAGCGUGGGGAGCAAACAGG